rnacentral:rRNA from 1 species
GACGAACGCUGGCGGCGUGCUUAACACAUGCAAGUCGAGCGGAAAGGCUCCUUCGGGGGUACUCGAGCGGCGAACGGGUGAGUAACACGUGAGUAAUCUGCCCUGCGCUCUGGGAUAGCCACCGGAAACGGUGAUUAAUACCGGAUAUGACCGCUACACGCAUGUGUUGGUGGUGGAAAGUUUUUCGGCGCAGGAUGUGCUCGCGGCCUAUCAGCUUGUUGGUGAGGUAAUGGCUCACCAAGGCUUUGACGGGUAGCCGGCCUGGGGGGGUGACCGGUCACACUGGGACUGAGACACGGCCCAGACUCCUACGGGAGGCAGCAGUGGGGAAUAUUGGACAAUGGGCGGAAGCCUGAUCCAGCAACGCCGCGUGAGGGAUGACGGCCUUCGGGUUGUAAACCUCUUUCAGUACCGACGAAGCGAAAGUGACGGUAGGUACAGAAGAAGGACCGGCCAACUACGUGCCAGCAGCCGCGGUAAAAC